AUGUGUGUCAUCCAAGACACAGAAAUACAAUAUCAUCACUUGUUUAAGCAGAGCUUAAGUAAACUAGUUUUCAGUGAGCUACUUAGUGCAGCAUUCUUCCAAAAGAAAGGAAAGGAACAAAAGCACAUGUGGGCUGGGCAAGCAAGUAUUGUCUUCCUUCUUCUUUUUAAAAACUUCUCUCUAAUGCAAAAUCUCUUUGUUACAGAAAAUCAUGUAAUGUUGAAAGAUAUAAGGAACGAAGCAAAACUUACCCUUUCCAAUUCCGUGGACAAGAAGAGCCUAGAAAGAAACUAG
rnacentral:lncRNA from 1 species